UACGUAGGGGGCAAGCGUUGUCCGGAAUUAUUGGGCGUAAAGAGCGCGUAGGCGGUCCGGUAAGUCGGCUGUGAAAGUCAAGGGCUCAACCCUUGAAAGCCGGCCGAUACUGUCGGACUAGAGUCCGGAAGAGGCGAGUGGAAUUCCCGGUGUAGCGGUGAAAUGCGCAGAUAUCAGGAAGAACACCGAUGGCGAAGGCAGCUCUCUGGGACGGUACUGACGCUGAGACGCGAAAGCGUGGGGAGCGAACAGG
rnacentral:rRNA from 1 species